rnacentral:rRNA from 1 species
AGAGUUUGAUCCUGGCUCAGGAUGAACGCUGGCGGCGUGCUUAACACAUGCAAGUCGAACGAAGAUGCCGGAGUGCUUGCACUUUGGCAGACUGAGUGGCGGACGGGUGAGUAACGCGUGGGUAACCUGCCUUAUACAGGGGGAUAACAGUUGGAAACGACUGCUAAUACCGCAUAAGCGCACGGUAUCGCAUGAUACAGUGUGAAAAACUCCGGUGGUAUAAGAUGGACCCGCGUCUGAUUAGCUGGUUGGUGAGGUAACGGCCCACCAAGGCGACGAUCAGUAGCCGGCCUGAGAGGGUGAACGGCCACAUUGGGACUGAGACACGGCCCAAACUCCUACGGGAGGCAGCAGUGGGGAAUAUUGCACAAUGGGGGAAACCCUGAUGCAGCGACGCCGCGUGGAGGAAGAAGGUCUUCGGAUUGUAAACUCCUGUUGUUGAGGAAGAUAAUGACGGUACUCAACAAGGAAGUGACGGCUAACUACGUGCCAGCAGCCGCGGUAAAACGUAGGUCACAAGCGUUGUCCGGAAUUACUGGGUGUAAAGGGAGCGCAGGCGGGAAGACAAGUUGGAAGUGAAAUCCAUGGGCUCAACCCAUGAACUGCUUUCAAAACUGUUUUUCUUGAGUAGUGCAGAGGUAGGCGGAAUUCCCGGUGUAGCGGUGGAAUGCGUAGAUAUCGGGAGGAACACCAGUGGCGAAGGCGGCCUACUGGGCACCAACUGACGCUGAGGCUCGAAAGUGUGGGUAGCAAACAGGAUUAGAUACCCUGGUAGUCCACACCGUAAACGAUGAUUACUAGGUGUUGGAGGAUUGACCCCUUCAGUGCCGCAGUUAACACAAUAAGUAAUCCACCUGGGGAGUACGACCGCAAGGUUGAAACUCAAAGGAAUUGACGGGGGCC